UGAUGGAUCACGAGUAAUUGGGCUGCAUUU
rnacentral:piRNA from 1 species